rnacentral:rRNA from 1 species
CCUACGGGUGGCUGCAGUGAGGAAUAUUGGUCAAUGGACGAGAGUCUGAACCAGCCAAGUAGCGUGAAGGAUGACUGCCCUAUGGGUUGUAAACUUCUUUUAUAUGGGAAUAAAAUGUUCCACGUGUGGGAUUUUGUAUGUACCAUAUGAAUAAGGAUCGGCUAACUCCGUGCCAGCAGCCGCGGUAAUACGGAGGAUCCGAGCGUUAUCCGGAUUUAUUGGGUUUAAAGGGAGCGUAGGUGGAUUGUUAAGUCAGUUGUGAAAGUUUGCGGCUCAAGCGUAAAAUUGCAGUUGAGACUGGCAGUCUUGAGUGCAGUAGAGGUGGGCGGAAUGCGUGGUGUAGCGGUGAAAUGCUUAGAUAUCACGAAGAACUCCGAUUGCGAAGGCAGUUCACUGAACUGCAACUGACACUGAGGCUCGAAAGUGUGGGUAUCAAACAGGAUUAGAUACCCUAGUAGUC